rnacentral:rRNA from 1 species
UUGAGGCGUGGCUUCCGGAGCUAACGCGUUAAGUCGACCGCCUGGGGAGUACGGCCGCAAGGUUAAAACUCAAAUGAAUUGACGGGGCCCGCACAAGCGGUGGAGCAUGUGGUUUAAUUCGAUGCAACGCGAAGAACCUUACCUGGUCUUGACAUCCAGAGAAUCCUGCAGAGAUGCGGGAGUGCCUUCGGGAACUCUGAGACAGGUGCUGCAUGGCUGUCGUCAGCUCGUGUUGUGAAAUGUUGGGUUAAGUCCCGCAACGAGCGCAACCCUUAUCCUUUGUUGCCAGCGGUUCGGCCGGGAACUCAAAGGAGACUGCCGGUGAUAAACCGGAGGAAGGUGGGGAUGACGUCAAGUCAUCAUGGCCCUUACGACCAGGGCUACACACGUGCUACAAUGGCGCAUACAAAGAGAAGCGACCUCGCGAGAGCAAGCGGACCUCAUAAAGUGCGUCGUAGUCCGGAUUGGAGUCUGCAACUCGACUCCAUGAAGUCGGAAUCGCUAGUAAUCGUGGAUCAGAAUGCACGGUGAAUACGUUCCCGGGCCUUGUACACACCGCCCGUCACACCAUGGGAGUGGGUUGCAAAAGAAGUAGGUAGCUUAACCUUCGGGAGGGCGCUUACCACUUUGUGAUUCAUGACUGGGGUGAAGUCGUAACAAGGUAACCGUAGGGAACCUGCGGUUG